rnacentral:rRNA from 1 species
CGGACGGGUGAGGAACACGUGGGUGACCUACCUUUCAGUGAGGAAUACCGGCGAGAAAUCGCCGACAAUACCGCAUGCGCUUCCCUUCGUGAAGGGGGAAGGAAAGCUUUUUCGUGAGGGAAGGCGCUGGGAGAUGGGCCCGCGGCCGAUUAGCUAGUUGGUGGGGUAAGAGCCUACCAAGGCGUCGAUCGGUAGCUGGUCUGAGAGGACGAUCAGCCACACUGGGGUUGAGAACGGCCCAG